GUCGAGAAGCUUCGGCAAUGGGCGAAAGCCUGACCGAGCGACGCCGCGUGAGCGAAGAAGGCCCUAUGGGUUGUAAAGCUCUGUCAGAUUGGGAAGAAAACCUCGCGGUUAAUACCCGUGAGGCCUGACGGUACCAUCAGAGGAAGCACCGGCUAACCCCGUGCCAGCAGCCGCGGUAAUACGGGGGGUGCAAGCGUUGUUCGGAUUCACUGGGUAUAAAGGGUGCGCAGGCGGCCUGUUAAGUCAGAGGUGAAAUUUGUCGGCUCAACCGACAGACUGCCCCUGAAACUGACAGGCUUGAGUCCGGGAGAGGAAGGUGGAAUUCCAGGUGUAGCGGUGAAAUGCGUAAAUAUCUGGAGGAACACCGGUGGCGAAGGCGGCCUUCUGGCCCGGAACUGACGCUCAGGCACGAAAGCUAGGGGAGCGAACGGGAUUAGAUACCCCAGUAGUCC
rnacentral:rRNA from 1 species